rnacentral:lncRNA from 1 species
UUGAAUUCCGUACAUGAAAACAAUCUUUUGGUGGUGGGAGAUUCUCGAUGUGAGGAUGAAGUUACCGAAAUAGACAAAAACGUUGUAAUACAAACAGAGAAAAAAAAGAUCACACACUAUACUACAACUAUAUUUGGUUGUGUGAAGAAAAUAAAAAGAAAAAAAUGUGUGAGAAAGAGAAAAAAAAGAGAGAAAGAGAUUAAAA